UUAGGGAAUAUUGGACAAUGGGGGCAACCCUGAUCCAGCGACGCCGCGUGAGUGAUGAAGGCCUUCGGGUCGUAAAGCUCUGUUGCAGGGGAAGAACACAAUGACGGUACCCUGCUAGAAAGGAUCGGCUAACUUCGUGCCAGCAGCCGCGGUAAGACGAGGGAUCCUAGCGUUGUUCGGAAUUAUUGGGCGUAAAGCGGGUGCAGGUGGCUUGGUAAGUCAGAUGUGAAAGCCUGGGGCUUAACCCCAGAAGUGCAUUUGAUACUGCUGAGCUUGAGUGCUGGAGAGGCUAUUAGAAUUCCUGGUGUAGUGGUGAAAUACGUAGAUAUCAGGAGGAAUACCGGAGGCGAAGGCGGAUAGCUGGCCAGACACUGACACUCAGACCCGAAAGCGUGGGGAUCAAACAGGAUUAGAAACCCGGGUAGUCC
rnacentral:rRNA from 1 species